CCUACGGGUCGCAGCAGUGAGGAAUAUUGGUCAAUGGGGGAAACCCUGAUGCAGCGACGCCGCGUGGGUGAAGAAGUCUUUCGGUAUGUAAAGCCCUAUCAGCAGGGAAGAAAGAAGACGUUACCUUACUAAGCUGCCCCGGCUAACUACGUGCCAGCAGCCGUGGUAAUACGUAGGGGGCGAGCGUUAUCCGGAUUCACUGGGUGUAAAGGGAGCGUAGACGGCCGGGCAAGCCAGGAGUGAAAGCCCGGGGCCCAACCCCGGGACUGCUCUUGGAACUGUGCGGCUAGAGUGCGGGAGGGGCAGGCGGAAUGCAUGGUGUAGCGGUGAAAUGCGUAGAGAUCAGGAGGAACACCGGCGGCGAAGGCGGCCUGCUGGACCGCGACUGACGUUGAGGCUCGAAAGCGUGGGGAGCGAACAGGAUUAGAUACCCUAGUAGUC
rnacentral:rRNA from 1 species